rnacentral:lncRNA from 1 species
GUGGGUUCUAUGUGAGGGAGGUGGGACUUUACGGGGGACCACUUGGGCAGCUAGGGACGGGACUGGACGGAGCUCAAAGUGUUCGUUAGAAGAGUGCAGAUUAGACAAUACACUGUGACGAGUGAAAAAUGCGACCGUGCUGGCGGCGCUGGUUCUCAUAGCCUCCAUGAGGGGUGCUAACGAGCAGUUUGCGGCCUCCAUCUCCACAACCUCGGAGUGAGAAGGUGGUUUCAUGCUGGGCAAUGAGCUGCUCCCCAGAAUCUGGGGAGAAAGUCUGGAGCAGUGACUCUCUUGGAGUAUUCGAGUAAAAGCAAUCAACCAAGAAAAUAAAAACCACAAACAUACACCAUCUGAGAACUACUGGAUGAGAAUCUUCACUUGAACAAGAUCCUCCCCAGAUGAUUCAUCUGCACCUUCAAGUUUGAGAAGUGCUGCUGUCAUCUAGAGGAACUACCUGGCUCUAAGGGAGGUCUUCACUGUUCACCUUCUGGAAGAAAAUACUAGCCCACAGGCAACAAUAAGAAAACAACAGAAGACAUGCUGUAGAUGGAAGAGGCAUUUCUCACUGCGGUGGAAGGAAACUCUCCAAGGAAGAGCUGACAUAAGCUUCCAGCAGAAUUGUAAAAUAACUGAAAUUUGUUUUCAGCACUUCCAGCCCCCUCAUUCUGACACCCCUCCACCUCUUUGUGUUGUCGUUAUCUCAUUGAUUCUCAUUCAUUUCAAUUAAAAAUAUUUAUUGAUGGC